rnacentral:rRNA from 1 species
CAAUAGCGUAUAUUAAAGUUGUUGCGGUUAAAAAGCUCGUAGUUGGAUUUCUGUUGGGAACGACCGGUCCGCCCAUUGGGUGUGUAUCUGGCUUGUUCUCGGCAUCUUCUUGGUGAACGUUGCUGCACUUGACUGUGUGGAGCGCUACCCAGGACUUUUACUUUGAGGAAAUUAGAGUGUUUCAAGCAGGCAUAUGCCUUGAAUACAUUAGCAUGGAAUAAUAAGAUAGGACCUCGGUUCUAUUUUGUUGGUUUCUAGAGCUGAGGUAAUGAUUAAUAGGAACAGUUGGGGGCAUUCGUAUUCAACAGCUAGAGGUGAAAUUCUUAGAUUUGUUGAAGACGAACUACAGCGAAAGCAUUUGCCAAGGAUGUUUUCAUUAA